GACGAACGCUGGCGGCGUGCCUAAUACAUGCAAGUCGAGCGAUGAAGAUUGGUGCUUGCACCAAUUUGAAGAGCAGCGAACGGGUGAGUAACGCGUGGGGAAUCUACCUUUGAGCGGGGGACAACAUUUGGAAACGAAUGCUAAUACCGCAUAACAACUUUAAACAUAAGGUUCAAGUGUGAAAGAUGCAAUUGCAUCACUCAAAGAUGAUCCCGCGUUGUAUUAGCUAGGUGGUGAGGUAAAGGCUCACCAAGGGGAUGAUACAUAGCCGCCCUGAGAGGGUGAUCGGCCACCUUGGGACUGGAGCACGGCCCCAAACCCUUCGGGAGGCACCCGUAGGGGAUCUUCGGCAAUGGACGGAAGUCUGGCCGGGCAACGCCGCGUGAGUGGAGGAGGUUUUCGGGUCGUAAAACUCUGUUGGUAGAGAAGAACGUUAGUGAGAGUUAAAAGCGCAUAUAGUGACGGUACCUACCCAGAAAGGGACGGCUAACUACGUG
rnacentral:rRNA from 1 species